AGAGUUUGAUCCUGGCUCAGGAUGAACGCUGGCGGCGUGCCUAAUACAUGCAAGUCGAGCGAACGGACGAGAAGCUUGCUUCUCUGAUGUUAGCGGCGGACGGGUGAGUAACACGUGGAUAACCUACCUAUAAGACUGGGAUAACUUCGGGAAACCGGAGCUAAUACCGGAUAAUAUUUUGAACCGCAUGGUUCAAAAGUGAAAGACGGUCUUGCUGUCACUUAUAGAUGGAUCCGCGCUGCAUUAGCUAGUUGGUAAGGUAACGGCUUACCAAGGCAACGAUGCAUAGCCGACCUGAGAGGGUGAUCGGCCACACUGGAACUGAGACACGGUCCAGACUCCUACGGGAGGCAGCAGUAGGGAAUCUUCCGCAAUGGGCGAAAGCCUGACGGAGCAACGCCGCGUGAGUGAUGAAGGUCUUCGGAUCGUAAAACUCUGUUAUUAGGGAAGAACAUAUGUGUAAGUAACUGUGCACAUCUUGACGGUACCUAAUCAGAAAGCCACGGCUAACUACGUGCCAGCAGCCGCGGUAAUACGUAGGUGGCAAGCGUUAUCCGGAAUUAUUGGGCGUAAAGCGCGCGUAGGCGGUUUUUUAAGUCUGAUGUGAAAGCCCACGGCUCAACCGUGGAGGGUCAUUGGAAACUGGAAAACUUGAGUGCAGAAGAGGAAAGUGGAAUUCCAUGUGUAGCGGUGAAAUGCGCAGAGAUAUGGAGGAACACCAGUGGCGAAGGCGACUUUCUGGUCUGUAACUGACGCUGAUGUGCGAAAGCGUGGGGAUCAAACAGGAUUAGAUACCCUGGUAGUCCACGCCGUAAACGAUGAGUGCUAAGUGUUAGGGGGUUUCCGCCCCUUAGUGCUGCAGCUAACGCAUUAAGCACUCCGCCUGGGGAGUACGACCGCAAGGUUGAAACUCAAAGGAAUUGACGGGGACCCGCACAAGCGGUGGAGCAUGUGGUUUAAUUCGAAGCAACGCGAAGAACCUUACCAAAUCUUGACAUCCUUUGACAACUCUAGAGAUAGAGCCUUCCCCUUCGGGGGACAAAGUGACAGGUGGUGCAUGGUUGUCGUCAGCUCGUGUCGUGAGAUGUUGGGUU
rnacentral:rRNA from 1 species